rnacentral:rRNA from 1 species
GCGCGAAAACUUUACAAUGCGGGAAACCGUGAUAAGGGGACACCGAGUGCUAGCAUCAUAUGCUGGCUGUCCAGGUGUGUAAAAUACACCUGUUAGCAAGGGCCGGGCAAGACCGGUGCCAGCCGCCGCGGUAACACCGGCGGCCCGAGUGGUGAUCGUGAUUAUUGGGUCUAAAGGGUCCGUAGCCGGUUUGGUCAGUCCUCCGGGAAAUCUGACAGCUCAACUGUUAGGCUUUCGGGGGAUACUGCCAGACUUGGAACCGGGAGAGGUAAGAGGUACUACAGGGGUAGGAGUGAAAUCUUGUAAUCCCUGUGGGACCACCUGUGGCGAAGGCGUCUUACCAGAACGGGUUCGACGGUGAGGGACGAAAGCUGGGGGCACGAACC